rnacentral:rRNA from 1 species
AUGAUGGCGUUGGACCUGCCCGUCAAAACGAUAGAAGCUGCCAACAAAAUUUGCAGAGGUUUUAUGUGGAAGGGUCGCCGUGACGUGCAUGGAGGGCAUUGUUUGGUUGCCUGGGACAAAGUUUGCUCGCCGAAGGAGUUUGGGGGUUUGGGAGUGCCCAAUCUGCGCCUGCUUAAUAUCUCGCUAAGAGCAAGAUGGCUGUGGCUUGGAAGGACGGACCCGGCUAGACCAUGGGCAGAAUUCAACAUCCAAGUCUCCUCGGACUCGCUAGCCAUUUACAGAGCAGCCACAAAGUGCACCAUUGGGGACGGAUCCACGGUCUUAUUCUGGACGGAUUGGUGG